AUUGAACGCUGGCGGCAGGCCUAACACAUGCAAGUCGAGCGGAUGACGGGAGCUUGCUCCUUGAUUCAGCGGCGGACGGGUGAGUAAUGCCUAGGAAUCUGCCUGGUAGUGGGGGGCAACGUUUCGAAAGGAACGCUAAUACCGCAUACGUCCUACGGGAGAAAGCAGGGGACCUUCGGGCCUUGCGCUAUCAGAUGAGCCUAGGUCGGAUUAGCUAGCUGGUGGGGUAAUGGCUCACCAAGGCGACGAUCCGUAACUGGUCUGAGAGGAUGAUCAGUCACACUGGAACUGAGACACGGUCCAGACUCCUACGGGAGGCAGCAGUGGGGAAUAUUGGACAAUGGGCGAAAGCCUGAUCCAGCCAUGCCGCGUGUGUGAAGAAGGUCUUCGGAUUGUAAAGCGCUUUAAGUUGGGAGGAAGGGCAGUAAGCUAAUACCUUGCUGUUUUGACGUUACCGACAGAAUAAGCACCGGCUAACUCUGUGCCAGCAGCCGCGGUAAUACAGAGGGUGCAAGCGUUAAUCGGAAUUACUGGGCGUAAAGCGCGCGUAGGUGGUUUGUUAAGUUGGAUGUGAAAGCCCCGGGCUCAACCUGGGAACUGCAUCCAAAACUGGCAAGCUAGAGUACGGUAGAGGGUGGUGGAAUUUCCUGUGUAGCGGUGAAAUGCGUAGAUAUAGGAAGGAACACCAGUGGCGAAGGCGACCACCUGGACUGAUACUGACACUGAGGUGCGAAAGCGUGGGGAGCAAA
rnacentral:rRNA from 1 species